UAACAAGUUUGAUGCCAUGUAGCAAUGC
rnacentral:piRNA from 1 species